GACGAACGCUGGCGGCGUGCUUAACACAUGCAAGUCGAACGUGAUUUUUGUGGAAAUUCUUUCGGGAAUGGAAAUGAAAUGAAAGUGGCGAACGGGUGAGUAACACGUGAGCAACCUACCUUACACAGGGGGAUAGCCGUUGGAAACGACGAUUAAUACCGCAUGAGACCACAGAAUCGCAUGAUAUAGGGGUCAAAGAUUUAUCGGUGUAAGAAGGGCUCGCGUCUGAUUAGCUAGUUGGAAGGGUAAAGGCCUACCAAAGCGACGAUCAGUAGCCGAUCUGAGAGGAUGAACGGCCACAUUGGGACUGAGACACGGCCCAAACUCCUACGGGAGGCAGCAGUGGGAGAUAUUGCACAAUGGGGGGAACCCUGAUGCAGCGACGCCGCGUGAGUGAAGAAGUAUUUCGGUAUGUAAAGCUCUAUCAGCAGGGAAGAUAAUGACAGUACCUGAAUAAGAAGCCCCGGCUAACUACGUGCCAGCAGCCGCGGUAAUACGUAGGGGGCAAGCGUUAUCCGGAUUUACUGGGUGUAAAGGGAGCGUAGACGGAAUGGCAAGUCUGAAGUGAAAUGCCCGGGCUCAACCCGGGAACUGCUUUGGAAACUGUCGAUCUGGAGUGUUGGAGAGGUAAGUGGAAUUCCUGGUGUAGCGGUGAAAUGCGUAGAGAUCAGAAAGAACACCGGAGGCGAAGGCGGCUUACUGGACAAAGACUGACGUUGAGGCUCGAAAGCGUGGGAAGCAAACAGG
rnacentral:rRNA from 1 species